rnacentral:rRNA from 1 species
UUCCGGUUGAUCCUGCCGGAGGCCAUUGCUAUUGGAGUCCGAUUUAGCCAUGCUAGUCGCACGAGUUCACACUCGUGGCGCAUAGCUCAGUAACACGUGGCCAAUCUACCCUUCAGCGGCGGACACCCUCGGGAAACUGAGGCUAGUCCGCCAUACACCUCUCACACUGGAACUGUCGAGAGGCCAAAACGCCUUACGGCGCUGGAGGAUGAGGCUGCGGCCGAUUAGGUAGACGGUGGGGUAACGGCUCACCGUGCCCAUAAUCGGUACGGGUCGUGAGAGCGAGAGCCCGGAGACGGAAUCUGAGACAAGAUUCCGGGCCCUACGGGGCGCAGCAGGCGCGAAACCUUUACACUGCACGCCAGUGCGAUAAGGGGACUCCAAGUGCGAGGGCAUAUCGUCCUCGCUAUCCUGUACUGUAGGGUAGUACAGUAUCAAGAGCUGGGCAAGACCGGUGCCAGCCGCCGCGGUAAUACCGGCAGCUCAAGUGAUGGCCGAUCUUAUUGGGCCUGAAGCGUCCGUAGCUGGCCCUGAAAGUCCGUCGGGAAAUCCAGUAGCCCAACUACUGGGCGUCCGGCGGAAACUCCAGGGCUUGGGACCGGAAGGCUCGAGGGGUACGUCCGGGGUAGGAGUGAAAUCCCGUAAUCCCGAACGGACCACCGAUGGCGAAAGCACCUCGAGAAGACGGCUCCGACAGUGAGGGACGAAAGCUAGGGUCUCGAACCGGAUUAGAUACCCGGGUAGUCCUAGCCGUAAACGAUGUUCGCUAGGUGUGGCACUGGCUACGAGCCAGUGCUGUGCCGUAGGGAAGCCGAGAAGCGAACCGCCUGGGAAGUACGUCUGCAAGGAUGAAACUUAAAGGAAUUGGCGGGGGAGCACUACAACCGGAGGAGCCUGCGGUUUAAUUGGACUCAACGCCGGACAUCUCACCAGCCCCGACUACGGUAAUGACGGUCAGGUUGAUGACCUCAUCACGAGCCGUAAAAAGGAGGUGCAUGGCCGCCGUCAGCUCGUACCGUGAGGCGUCCUGUUAAGUCAGGCAACGAGCGAGACCCGCCAUCCUAAUUGCCAGCAGCAGUCUCGACUGGCUGGGUACAUUAGGAGGACUGCCAU